ACUUUGGUGUUUACUGAAUUGAUGAUAAAUAAUAAGAUAUGUUUAUGUUUUUAAUUGAUUCAUAUGUUUAGGAAUCGGAUUUAGGGAUCUAGGUCAAGAAAUAUAGAUUUCAAUAAACCCUAGUUCGAUUUCCAGAUUCGUAGCCUCAGAUUCCAGUGCAUGAUUCAUCGCUGAUUUAUUUUCUGAAAAUUAUGAAAUUAAUUGUGCAUGUAGAUGUUUCCGUUAGCUUCGUUUUGACCUAUGGUAUGCGUAAUUUGGAAUUAUAUUGAUCAAGUUAUGAACCGUUUUCUGAAACUGCACGAUUUCUGAGUCAUCUAUGAAUUAUGUGUUAAAUUAGAUUUUAUCUUGUUCCUAUUCAUGCAAUUCCAACUGGAUAUGAUUACAGACUUAUAAAUCUGAUUCUUAGUGAAAUUUCAUGGUGUUUCGUUGAAAGAAUGAUUUAUUUGGUAUUUUUAAAGUUGAAUGCUCUGUUCUGAAAUUCUGCUGAUGUUGCUGACUUGCUGUACUAAAUUAAUUAUUCCUCUUCCAUGGAUACGUAUUUUACUGAACUGUUUUAAUAUGGUAUAAAUCACAUAUAUGUGAACGUUGUGUUAAAAUUUCAUAAGGUUUGUAUGCAUGGUUUAAUAUGUAUGAAUUUUCAAAGUUGAAGUACCAAAGCUGCCAGAUUUUCUAAAAUAAUAUUAGAUUAUCAGGUGUUGCUCACGUUUAUACGAGAUUUAUUUGUCGUGGAUCCAGGUAUACUGAAUAUUAUGUACUUUGAUUGCAUAUUUGGUGAUGAGAUACCAGAGAACAAAUGAAGACUCAAUUUCGGGUGAUAUGUAUUUAUUAAAGAACAUUUAAUUAUGCUAAGCUAAUCUGUACAUUUUAUGGACAAGUUUAAUGUUUAGCAUCUAUUUAUGCCCUUAUUUAUUUGAAAUUUGUCUUAUGCACAUUGAACAACAAGUUUACUGUAUUUUGAUCAAAAUUAGACAUAACAUCAUAUGAGGGUAUGUUAAGUAAAUUUAUUGGUUGGACGAUAUUGAGUUAGUAUUUGGUAAUGUAUUGAUCUCAUUGUUACGAUUUUUGCUAAAUAUACUUAAUUUUUGUCCUCUCUUUUAUUAAUGCAAGGACCGGGUUUUUUUGACAUGCAUAAAUUUGAACAAAUCAACACUCUUACUUCAGAUGGAGCUGACAUAGAAAGUAGUAUUAGCUUACCGGGUGUUGCUCAUGAUUAUAUGAGAUUUAUUUGUCGUGGAUCCAGGUAUACCGAAUGUGACUAGGUUGGUGGUCAAUUGAUGAAGGGAGUCGGGAGGAGCAAGUUCAGCUAUAUUGUGCACUAGGAUCUAGGCAAUGCAUCACAUUAAACACAUGGACUGGACGAGGUAAGUAGCUACUUAUGCAAGAGCCCAGAUACAUUAUUGAAUUAUGAGUGCUACUAAGUGACAAAUGAUUGAAAUUGAUUCUAUCAUAUGAUUUCUUAUUUUCUAUUUGAAUUUUUUCUCCCUUU